rnacentral:lncRNA from 1 species
AUUUACCUCGAUCGGCAGUCGAAAACUUCCCCAGUGUGGCGGCGGGUGGCGGCGGCCGGCUACUCCGGCAUCUGGUUCUUCUUCUCCGGCGAGGCACUGGCAGCUAGGGUUUUUGUGGUCAGGUGUGGGUGGGGUUAUUUAUACCCUUUGCCUUUUUAUCUCAACCGUCCAUCAAGAUUAAAUCUAGACCGUUCGAUUGCGAUUUAAUUGGGAUUAAAUCUGGGUCGUCCAUCGCGAUGCAAUCUGGGUUGUCCGUGCUUGAUUGAAUCUGGGCCGUCCAUGCGCGUGAAUCUGGGCCGUCCGUGCACAAGUUUGAUCUGGACCG